rnacentral:lncRNA from 1 species
UCUGCCUUCUCAAUUUCAACUCCCCUCUUUCCGUGUGGUUGCGUUUUUUAUUUCUGUUUUUUUGGGGGGGAUUGAAUUUGAUUUUUUUUCAGUGAACUUGAAUCCGUAAGUCUUAAAGACGAUUUCUCUAUAAUCAAAUGUUGCUUGAGUGAUAAUCGCUUAUUUAGAGUAGGUUUGGAAUGCAUUGGCUCAGUGCUUUAUCGGGUCUAGGGAAGCUUGGUACCUGAGUACAUGUCAUCGCCCUCCUUAUACGAAGGGGUUUUGUAGUCUAGUCGUCUCUAAUCCAGUAGAGAUCGCAGGGCCUGACAGAAAUGUGAAUAUUUUAGGUGGGUUGUGUAUUAAAGUUUUGAGAUAUGUGCAUGUUUUCUCAGGUCCUAGUAUAGGGUUCUUUUCCUUUCGCUUAAUGUCACAUUCUGAAUCAAGCUCAAUUCUUUGGAUGAAAUAAAAUGUUUCGAGUAUUGAGAAUAUGUGUAUGAGCAUUUGCAUUUGGUGCCAUCAUAUGAUCAAUCAUUUUUUGGUAAUUAAUCUCAGUCAAUGGGUUUCCAGUACAACUCUGGAGAUGAUAGUAUGAUUGUAAAAAUGAUCUCGCUUGAUGGGACUUGAUAUUAUGGUAGCAGCCAUGACUUGAUAUUAUGGUAGCAGCCAUGCUUUUGGUACCCUUGUGUGUGCAAUUCAGAAGUUAGAAUCAUCAACCAUGUGCUAUACUAAAACUGUGUACCAUAUAAAAAGAACAUGGGUAUUCUAUCAAGAGCGAACAAAAUUGUUACAAGUGGUACUAGAACCAAUCUUUUAUCUGGUGUGGCACUUCGUUUUCUCUACAAGGAUUGUUUGCUUGUCUAACUGGCUCCGCAAUCUUGUGUGAUUCAAUUAAGGAUGUUGUGUUUAUAUGAAGUAAUUGUGAUAUCCCACAUCGGUUAGGGGAAGAAGUUCUUGACACUGUAUGUGUAAUGGACUCCUCUUAACCAUGUAGCUGCAUUUUGAAGUCAUGAGGUCCCAUUGAACUUAGACGGACAAUAUCUAUAAGGGAGCAGGUCAUUACCAUACACUCCUACAAAAAC